rnacentral:rRNA from 1 species
GGGUGACGAGUGGCGGACGGGUGAGUAAUGUCUGGGAAACUGCCCGGUGGAGGGGGAUAACUACUGGAAACGGUAGCUAAUACCGCAUAACGUCUUCGGACCAAAGUGGGGGAUCUUCGGACCUCACGCCACCGGAUGUGCCCAGAUGGGAUUAGCUAGUAGGUGGGGUAACGGCUCACCUAGGCGACGAUCCCUAGCUGGUCUGAGAGGAUGACCAGCCACACUGGAACUGAGACACGGUCCAGACUCCUACGGGAGGCAGCAGUGGGGAAUAUUGCACAAUGGGCGCAAGCCUGAUGCAGCCAUGCCGCGUGUAUGAAGAAGGCCUUCGGGUUGUAAAGUACUUUCAGCGGGGAGGAAGGCGGUGAGGUUAAUAACCUCGCCGAUUGACGUUACCCGCAGAAGAAGCACCGGCUAACUCCGUGCCAGCAGCCGCGGUAAUACGGAGGGUGCAAGCGUUAAUCGGAAUUACUGGGCGUAAAGCGCACGCAGGCGGUCUGUUAAGUCAGAUGUGAAAUCCCCGGGCUUAACCUGGGAACUGCAUUUGAAACUGGCAGGCUUGAGUCUCGUAGAGGGGGGUAGAAUUCCAGGUGUAGCGGUGAAAUGCGUAGAGAUCUGGAGGAAUACCGGUGGCGAAGGCGGCCCCCUGGACGAAGACUGACGCUCAGGUGCGAAAGCGUGGGGAGCAAACAGGAUUAGAUA